UAAAUAAAAAAAUGUCUUUAUUAUAAAUUUAUUAAAAACGAAUGUGAAUCUGAUUUUUUUAGGUUUUGAGAAUAAUUUCUUUUGUCUCCUAAUGCGGUAAGUAAUUUAUUAAUUUAAUAUAUUCAUUAAUAUUUUAAUUGUAAAUCAUCAUUCUCACCUGUAUCCGUGUGUAGGCAGAAUUUUUUUACUGGUUAUUAAAUAAAAGUACAAAACUAUAAUUAAAAGGUCCAUAACUUAGAUAGGUAAAAACAAGAACAAAACUAAAUAUUGGAUUCCAACACAAUAUCUCAAUGACAGCUCAAGCAACAUUCUAGUGGUUGCUUAGAUCUUUUGCUAGUCAAAAAUUUCAUUCUUCCCUUAGAACCUUUGUGUACUCCCUCCCUUAGGUAGUCUCCUACAAUAUUAGGUAGUGUACACGAAGACAUAUACAUUGGUUCAUACUGCACUUCACAAUAAAAGGAAACUUACACAUGCUUCUUUCACAAUCAUUGUCACUGCUACAAAAUGCUGUGAAGAAUUUAGAUAACAUAAGAAUGCUAAUAAAAAAGGUAUACAAAAUUUUGUAUGAAGUAAAUAUGAUUUUUUUUGAAAGGGUAGAAAAAUGGAUUACCAUCAACCUCCAUUGCAACAAGAAAUAGAGAAAUUAAGAGGAUUGUAGGAUAAACAAACUUAAGAAUAUUAGACAUAUUUUCCUCCUCUUGUAGCUAGCAAAUAGAAAAUCAAAUGAUCACUUUAUUAUGUAAAAGUAUCUCUCUCUACAUCAAUUAAAUGAAUUAGUAUUUGAGCCUCUUUGGUACAUCAAUGAGUUGUGUUUGUCCUUUU
rnacentral:lncRNA from 1 species